GGCGAGUGGCGAACGGGUGAGUAAUACAUCGGAACGUGCCCUGUAGUGGGGGAUAACUAGUCGAAAGAUUAGCUAAUACCGCAUACGACCUGAGGGUGAAAGUGGGGGACCGCAAGGCCUCAUGCUAUAGGAGCGGCCGAUGUCUGAUUAGCUAGUUGGUGAGGUAAAGGCUCACCAAGGCGACGAUCAGUAGCUGGUCUGAGAGGACGAUCAGCCACACUGGGACUGAGACACGGCCCAGACUCCUACGGGAGGCAGCAGUGGGGAAUUUUGGACAAUGGGCGAAAGCCUGAUCCAGCAAUGCCGCGUGUGUGAAGAAGGCCUUCGGGUUGUAAAGCACUUUUGUCCGGAAAGAAAUGGCUCUGGUUAAUACCUGGGGUCGAUGACGGUACCGGAAGAAUAAGGACCGGCUAACUACGUGCCAGCAGCCGCGGUAAUACGUAGGGUCCAAGCGUUAAUCGGAAUUACUGGGCGUAAAGCGUGCGCAGGCGGUUGUGCAAGACCGAUGUGAAAUCCCCGAGCUUAACUUGGGAAUUGCAUUGGUGACUGCACGGCUAGAGUGUGUCAGAGGGGGGUAGAAUUCCACGUGUAGCAGUGAAAUGCGUAGAGAUGUGGAGGAAUACCGAUGGCGAAGGCAGCCCCCUG
rnacentral:rRNA from 1 species